GGCUGGUCUGAGUGCAGUGGUGUUUACAACUAAUUGAUCACAACCAGUUACAGAUUUCUUUGUUCCUUCUCCACUCCCACUGUUUCACUUGACUAACCUUUA
ensembl:Y_RNA Y_RNA Y RNA